UUUAGCAGUGAGGGCAUAUUGGUCAAUAGCCUAACGGCUGAACCAGCAACUUGGAAGAAUGAAUAGCGAAAGCUAACUAUAUGAUAGUAGUAUAGUAUCGACUAUGUCGAAUAAAAUUCUGGAUAGAGUAAUGAUAAUGACAUUUUCUGUUCAUAAGUCUUGACCAAAUCACGUGCCAGCAGUCGCGGCAAUACGUGGAAGACUAGUGUUAUUCAUCUUAAGUAGGUUUAAAGGGUACCUAGACAGUAAAUCUAGCCCUAAAGGGUACGGAUAUGCUAGAGUUUUAUGAGAGAGGGGUAGUACUGACGGAGUAGAGAUGAAAUUUGUUGAUACCGACAUAAGAAACAGGUAUAGGCGAAAGCAACCCUUUAUGUAAAAACUGACGUA
rnacentral:rRNA from 1 species